UUCCUUCAGUGGUCCCUUAGAAACAGGAACUUCACGCGCCGGUGAUUUCCGUCGUGGUGAAUCCCCUAAUGAAACAAAUACGGGGAAGCCCGAGGGUCGAUAGUUUCAUCGCCCUAUAUAGUGGUAAAACCCGCUCUAAAACAGGACUUGGUGAACGUCACUUCACAGACGUGCAUUUUCUAGCAGUGAUUCGAGCAGACAUGGCGGGCAAAGUACUACUAGGGUUCAAACCAAGGCCACGACUCGCCAUGCUGCGUUUACUAAUCGGCGGCUUGCUUGUACAAACAGCGUUAGGUGCUGAAGAAAUAUAUGCCGAUGAGGGAAGUUCUGUUGUACUACCAUGCGAGGUGACCUUUGACCCGUCAGUGUCGCUAUUCUGGGAGAUUGUCCAACACCACCAGGGGCAUAAUAUUCAGAUUCUUUUCAAA